CCAUUCCACCCUUGUGGUGGCACGUGUUUCUCAAGUUAAGCUCCAUGUUCCAAUUAAAAUAAUAUAAUGAUCUUGACAUGAACAUAAAUAAAAUAACAGAAUAAUUAGAACAUGGACAUAAUGUAAUAUUUAACUCAAAACCAUAUAAAGCAAUAGCAAAACUACCCAAGUGAUUCACGGGUAAACAAGGUAAAAGAUAAUCAGACUAGGGUGACCUAUUGGGUCCCAUCAAAAUUAAACCUAUGCAUGAAUAUGUGAUAUUAAAGAACAUUAUUGGGUAAUAGAAGUGGUCAAGGGUACAACUUGCCUGGGACUUGAGAUUCUAGGUACCUGGGUGAUCCUCAGGUGACUCGUGACCUCACUGCUGAUCGUAGCGAUACAAGCAAACAUGGUAUAGACAAAAUUAACAUCACACCAAACAUAUGAACAAACUGCAUAAUAAUGAUCUACACGUCGCUACGAGAUCGUGGGAUCGAGAACUAUUAAGAUCAGAGUCAUGGUUCAGGAGUUAUGAUCUAUGGAAGAUCUAUGUGAUUAAAAUAUUAAACUAUAUUAUAAAUUGGUUAGGAUAUCCCAUAUGAGAGAAUAUUCUAUAAAUAAUUAUCUCAACUUUAAUCUAAGUUACAGAUUGACCAUAGAUCUUAUUCUAGUAGGUUACAAUGGUAAGCGAAUUAACAAGACUAACCAACAUAAGUUAAAUAAAGAUCCAAUUAUAGAAGAAUGAGACAUGAUACAAUAAAUGUUGUUAUUGCAUAGUAAAUAUUCAUAUGAAGCUAACACAACUGGAACAGGUCAAUUCGGAGUUUAAAUGGGGCAGUUAUGAAUUUCCAAAGGUUUUAUGUAUUUUUGAUACAAGAUUAAUUAUGAGAUCAAUUUUAAUAUAGUUUUCAUGUCAAAACAGAGAUACUAUGUGAUAAAAGAUAAUAUUAUAGAAUUAUAGAAAUUGGAAUGGACUCAUUUGGAUUUAAUAUGAAUUUUCUAUGAAUAAAAUGAGUUUCUGCAAUUAUUUUUAAACCCAAAAUCAAUUUCUAAAUUCCUUUUUCCUAUUUUCUUUAUUUCCUGGAUUGUGCCUCAAUUUCUAGAGAAGACAGGGGCCUCUUGGUAAGUUAUCCUCGACUCAGUGAACAAUCCUAGUGGACUGCGGGUUGAUUCAGUUGUUUCUCGGGGUCUCUUACGCAAAAAGCCCAGGCCGAAGGGGUAUCAAGGUAUUCUGGCUGCACGAUCCUGGAUGAGUGGCACGGAUUAAAUCAAGCGUCGUCUGAACCGGUACGCAGCGCGGUCCGUCCGACCAACGGUCUACGACAUAGAUUCAAUUACCCCGAACUCAGCCAUAUCUGCCCGAUCAGAGCCAACAGCUCAGACUUAAAUAACUGCGAUGGAAUCCUAGACACACGAUUCAGAUCGGAUGGAUCUGUGUAACUGGCCGAACCGGUACUCUGGGUUCUAAUCCCGACCGGCGCUUCUAGAUCCAGCGGUCCGUCCUCAUCUUCUUCCGCCGCCCAAAGCCAGCCGGCGUCAGAGUCCUGCCGCGGCGGCGCCCUCAUCGGAAAAACUUAGACCCGGUGUUCGAGCGACCAAUUCCCCCCAUUAACGAGUCUUAUACGUGGCGGAAAGUAUAGCAAAACCACAUGGGGUUUACUCACCAGCGAUCGGCGCUUCGAGGUACCCCAAUCGUGGAGAUCGGCGGUCCGGUGGAGGAGGAAGAAGUCCGUUGAGGAAUUCUGGCACCCCGACUAGCCACACCAACACAAACGUCCCACCGACUCACUUCGGCUCCCCCGACGACCCUCCUCGAUCCACCCUUGAAGUUGCGCCAGCAGUGUGGGUCAGAAUCGACGUCGACGGCAACUCUGGCAGCGUGUUGGCUUCGAUGCUCACGUUAGCGCCAGAGAUGCAAG
rnacentral:lncRNA from 1 species